CUUUAUUGGAGAGUUUGAUCCUGGCUCAGGACGAACGCUGGCGGCGUGCCUAAUACAUGCAAGUCGAGCGGACUUGAUGGAGUGCUUGCACUCCUGAAGGUUAGCGGCGGACGGGUGAGUAACACGUAGGCAACCUGCCCUCAAGACUGGGAUAACUACCGGAAACGGUAGCUAA
rnacentral:rRNA from 1 species